UACGAAGGGGGCUAGCGUUGUUCGGAUUUACUGGGCGUAAAGGGAGCGUAGGUGGCAUUCUAAGUCUGAUGUGAAAGCUCUGAGCUUAACUCAGAAAUGGCAUUAGAUACUAGUUUGCUUGAGGAUUGGAGGGGAGAUUGGAAUACUUGGUGUAGCAGUGAAAUGCGUAGAUAUCAAGUGGAACACCAGUGGCGAAGGCGAAUCUCUGGACAAUUCCUGACACUGAUGCUCGAAAGCUAGGGGAGCAAACGGG
rnacentral:rRNA from 1 species